GAUGAAGAGCGGGUGGCAAGUCCUUCCGCGUCUUAGGUCCUAGCAGGCAAUCGUCCACUCCUGACGGAAUAUUCGGGAGUUCCCUACACUUGUGGACGCCACUCACCACCUGCAUCCCUUUAGCACCACGUUAAGACACACCUGUGCUCUGGGCGUGUUAGGGUGUGAGGUUUGUAAGGAACAGAGGGACAGCAUGGAGGUGUUUGGAAUCAUCAGCAUCCACUCAAAGCAAAAUUAUGACACUGGUCUACUGAAUGCCACAGCAGGAAUCAUAUAUGCAGAGAAGUAUAAGAGAGACAAACUACAAAGAAGAUAAUGAAGAUAAUGAUACAACAAAGGAUAAGAAAGCUCUGAAUGCAAGAAACUCAAGUAUAAGAGAGACAAGCUACAAAGAAGAGAAUGAUACAACAAAGGAUAA